rnacentral:rRNA from 1 species
CACGUAGGGCGCGAGCGUUGUCCGGAAUUAUUGGGCGUAAAGAGCUCGUAGGCGGCCUGUUGCGUCCGCUGUGAAAGCCCGGGGCUUAACCCCGGGUCGGCAGUGGAUACGGGCAGGCUAGAGGUAGGUAGGGGAGAAUGGAAUUCCCGGUGUAGCGGUGAAAUGCGCAGAUAUCGGGAGGAACACCGGUGGCGAAGGCGGUUCUCUGGCCCGAUACUGACGCUGAGGCACGAAAGCGUGGGGAGCAAACAGG